AGGGUUCGACUCCGGAGAGGGAGCCUGAGAAACGGCUACCACAUCCAAGGAAGGCAGCAGGCGCGCAAAUUACCCAAUCCCAACAUGGGGAGGUAGUGACAAGAAAUACUGAUAUAGGGUCCUAUAGGAUCUUGUAAUUGGAAUGAGUACAAUUUAAACCCAUUAACGAGGAACAACUAGAGGGCAAGUCUGGUGCCAGCAGCCGCGGUAAUUCCAGCUCUAGUAGCAUACAUUAAAAUUGUUGCAGUUAAAACGCCCGUAGUUGAAGUUUAGGUCCUUAUCAUCUGGUCUGCCUCACCGCUAGUACUGGUAUGAUUGGGCCUUUUUUCUUGGUAAACUGUUAUGCCCUUUAUUGGGUGUGGCAGUGAACUAGGACUUUUACUUUGAAAAAAUUAGAGUGUUUAAAGCAGGCUUUUGCUCGAAUACCUUAGCAUGGAAUAAUGGAAUAUGACGAGUGGUUGUUUUUCAUUGGUUUUCACGACUACCGUAAUGAUUGAUAGGGAUGGUCGGGGGCAUCGGUAUUCGAUCNUCAGAGGUGAAAUUCUU
rnacentral:rRNA from 2 species